GAUGAACGCUGGCGGCGUGCCUAAUACAUGCAAGUCGAGCGAACGGACGAGAAGCUUGCUUCUCUGAUGUUAGCGGCGGACGGGUGAGUAACGCGUGGAUAACCUACCUAUAAGACUGGGAUAACUUCGGGAAACCGGAGCUAAUACCGGAUAAUAUUUUGAACCGCAUGGUUCAAAAGUGAAAGACGGUCUUGCUGUCACUUAUAGAUGGGUCCGCGCUGCAUUAGCUAGUUGGUAAGGUAACGGCUUACCAAGGCAACGAUGCAUAGCCGACCUGAGAGGGUGAUCGGCCACACUGGAACUGAGACACGGUCCAGACUCCUACGGGAGGCAGCAGUAGGGAAUCUUCCGCAAUGGGCGAAAGCCUGACGGAGCAACGCCGCGUGAGUGAUGAAGGUCUUCGGAUCGUAAAACUCUGUUAUUAGGGAAGAACAUAUGUGUAAGUAACUGUGCACAUCUUGACGGUACCUAAUCAGAAAGCCACGGCUAACUACGUG
rnacentral:rRNA from 1 species